UUCGAUGCAACGCGAAGAACCUUACCUGGUCUUGACAUCCCGGAGACCCUUAGGAAACUAGGGGGUGCUUCCAUCUGGAAGAAUCUGGAGACAGGUGCUGCAUGGCUGUCGUCAGCUCGUGUCGUGAGAUGUUGGGUUAAGUCCCGCAACGAGCGCAACCCUUGCCUUUAGUUGCCAGCAGUUCGGCUGGGCACUCUAAAGGGACUGCCGGUGUUAAACCGGAGGAAGGUGGGGAUGACGUCAAGUCCUCAUGGCCUUUAUGACCAGGGCUACACACGUACUACAAUGGCCGAUACAAAGGGCAGCGACACUGCGAGGUGAAGCCAAUCCCGUAAAAUCGGUCUCAGUCCGGAUUGGAGUCUGCAACUCGACUCCAUGAAGUUGGAAUCGCUAGUAAUCGUGGAUCAGCAUGCCACGGUGAAUACGUUCCCGGGCCUU
rnacentral:rRNA from 1 species